AACGAACGCUGGCGGCAUGCCUAACACAUGCAAGUCGAACGAAGGCUUCGGCCUUAGUGGCGCACGGGUGCGUAACGCGUGGGAACCUGCCCCUUGGUUCGGAAUAACACAGAGAAAUUUGUGCUAAUACCGGAUGAUGACUUCGGUCCAAAGAUUUAUCGCCGAGGGAUGGGCCCGCGUAGGAUUGGGUAGUUGGUGGGGUAAAGGCCUACCAAGCCGACGAUCCUUAGCUGGUCUGAGAGGAUGAUCAGCAACACUGGGACUGAGACGCGGCCCAGACUCCUACGGGAGGCAGCAGUGGGGAAUAUUGGACAAUGGGGGAAACCCUGAUCCUGCAAUGCCGCGUGAGUGAUGAAGGCCUUAGGGUUGUAAAGCUCUUUUACCAGGGAUGAUAAUGACAGUACCUGGAGAAUAAGCUCCGGCUAACUCCGUGCCAGCAGCCGCCGUAAAAC
rnacentral:rRNA from 1 species